rnacentral:rRNA from 1 species
GAUUAACGCUGGCGGCGUGCAUAACACAUGCAAGUCGAACGAUGAAACUUAACUGAUUUCUUCGGAAUGAUUUUAAGUGGAUUAGUGGCGGACGGGUGAGUAACGCGUGAGUAACCUGCCUUGGAGAAGGGGAUAGCCUUUGGAAACGAAGAAUAAUACCCUAUGAUAUGAUAAUAUCUCAUGAUAUUAUCAUCAAAGAUUUAUCGCUCUAAGAUGGACUUGCGUCUGAUUAGUUAGUUGGUGAGGUAACAGCUCAUCAAGGCAGCGAUCAGUAGCCGGCUUGAGAGAGUGUACGGCCACAUUGGGACUGAGACACGGCCCAGACUCCUACGGGAGGCAGCAGUGGGGAAUUUUGCACAAUGGGGGAAACCCUGAUGCAGCGACGCCGCGUGAUUUAGAAGGCCUUCGGGUUGUAAAAAUCUUUUGUAUGGGAAGAAAAUGACAGUACCAUACGAAUAAGGACCGGCUAAUUACGUG